rnacentral:rRNA from 1 species
GACGAACGCUGGCGGCGUGCUUAACACAUGCAAGUCGAACGAAGUGGCGAACGGGUGAGUAACGCGUAAUCAACCUGCCCUUCAGAGGGGGACAACAGUUGGAAACGACUGCUAAUACCGCAUACUUAUCGAUGGCCUUGCGGUGCAUUAGCUAGUUGGUGGGGUAACGGCCUACCAAGGCAAUGAUGCAGAGCCGGUCUGAGAGGAUGAACGGCCAAAGUGGGACUGAGACACGGCCCAGACUCCUACGGGAGGCAGCAGUGGGGAAUCUUCCGCAAUGGACGAAAGUCUGACGGAGCAACGCCGCGUGAGUGAUGACGGCCUUCGGGUUGUAAAGCUCUGUUAAUCGGGACGCGGUACCGGAAUAGAAAGCCACGGCUAACUACGUGCCAGCAGCCGCGGUAAUUC